rnacentral:rRNA from 1 species
GACGAACGCUGGCGGCGUGCUUAACACAUGCAAGUCGAACGGAAAGGCCCUGCUUUUGUGGGGUGCUCGAGUGGCGAACGGGUGAGUAACACGUGAGUAACCUGCCCUUGACUUUGGGAUAACUUCAGGAAACUGGGGCUAAUACCGGAUAGGAGCUCCUGCUGCAUGGUGGAGGUUGGAAAGUUUCGGCGGUUGGGGAUGGACUCGCGGCUUAUCAGCUUGUUGGUGGGGUAGUGGCUUACCAAGGCUUUGACGGGUAGCCGGCCUGAGAGGGUGACCGGCCACAUUGGGACUGAGAUACGGCCCAGACUCCUACGGGAGGCAGUAGUGGGGAAUAUUGCACAAUGGGCGGAAGCCUGAUGCAGCAACGCCGCGUGCGGGAUGACGGCCUUCGGGUUGUAAACCGCUUUCGCCUGUGACGAAGCGUGAGUGACGGUAAUGGGUAAAGAAGCACCGGCUAACUACGUG